AAUGGAAGGUAGCCGAGCUUAUUAAAUAAGUUAGGAAAGUCCAUACUAGCACACUCUGUGAUUGAGUGUAGUGUUUGUGUGUAAGGAAACAAUAACUUACAGCACCAUUUGGUGACGGCUUCUGAUGUUCUAAGGUCUUUGACUAUGAACUAAGAGUAAAGUGCCACAGAAACGAUUUUGUUAGAAAUAACAAGGUGAAACGCGGUAAACCCCUCAAGCUAGCAACCCAAAUUAUGGUAGGGGCACGUUAAAGGUCGAAUAAGAAGAUACUUUAAUGCUACUACGGUAGAGAUAAAUGGCUACAACCCGUAAGGGAUACAGAAUAUGGCUUAUGCAC
rnacentral:RNase_P_RNA from 1 species